rnacentral:lncRNA from 1 species
AUCUCCUCCUCUCAGGUUCACAUAGGGUUGUGAAAUAAUCCUAUGACAUGGUUAAAAAAUAGAAUGUUUCCUGUAGGUGGACCUAACAUUGUGUGUGUGUGUGCAACAUAUUGCCUCAAAUAAGUGUUAUUACUGUGUAUUUGUCAGUAUCAAUGACCAUUUAUCUUCAUAUACUGAGGUUACUAGACGAACCCAGUCUUUGGAGUUCUUGCAGGAAUUUAUGGGUGCUUUUUCUUAACGAUAGUCUCCAGGAAGUCCAACAUUCGCAAAGAAGCUCAAAGGAAUCAGUAAUUCAAGUGUGGUCAGUAUAAGUUAAGUGUGUCUUUGUCACAACGUUGAAGAAGAGGGCUGGACGAGUGUCAGAAUAAACAAUAUCUGUUUCCUCUUUCUCAUCAAUCCUGCUUCAUUACAGACUCACACAGCAUCUCUGAACCGUUGGAUUUUUAGCAACAGAUAAAAUGGUAAGUUUUUCUUCUAUCACCAAACACCAUCCUUAUUUGAGCUAAAGCAACAUAAAUAUUGCUUACAUUGUCUUGUCAAAAAGAAAAAAAUUAAAAAGUGUACAUAUAACACACCUUCAAAGAAUAUUAAUUUUCUAGCUUACAGAAUGAUUUUGUGCUCUUUGUGUACAUACUUUGUAUUUGAAUGUUUAUAUUUGUGUUUGAUUGUUUCAGGUUUUUGCUGUACCACAGAUGAUCCUCCUGAUCUGCCUGCUUCAGUUUUGUACUUGUGCAGUCGGUCAGAAUGUGCACCCAAGAACUCUCAUGAAUAUUGUAAAGAACUUUGAGAAAAAGUUGUCUGGCAUGGGACAAUAUGCUGUCGCAUUCAGAGUCGAGAAGCAAAAAUGUCAAGAUUCCAACUAUGGCGGUCAGGAAUUAAUAACUAGACAAGUGAAAGAAAAACUUAGUAAGAAUGAGGUUUAUGUGAGUGGUGACCUUAUCGCUGCAAGGGCUGAAAAAAAUGACCAAGAGCAUUCAGAGUAUCGCCUGAGGAAUUAUCUGAAGAAUAUCUUGAAUGUAAAAUAUAAAUGUGUGGUUUAUUUCACUGUAAAUUCACCCUGUUUGGAUAAAUGCAUAUCAGAAUCCUGGCAAUUCAGCAUUAGAGGUAAUCUGAGAAAUUUAGAAAAAUAUGAAGGAACUAAAGCCUUUGCAUUCAAAUUAUUUUGGAUACGUGAUGAAAGUGUGGAGGUUAAAAAGAGACUUAAGGAAAUUGCACCUGCUUUGCCAUAUUAUCAUUGUGAGGCAAACAAAGCUGAAUGUGAUCGCCUGUAAGUAGAGCGAUGCUUAUGCUUGACAGUUGCUUUCUUCACAAACAGACAUGGUUUUAUUUAGCUGAGGGUUUUGGUUCUCUUUUAAUUGCAGUAAACAUUACAUUGGCAAAUAAAAUCUGUAAUCUGUAAAAUGCAUAAUUUGUGAUCUUGUGUGCUUGAGUAGUCGCCAACUGUGUUACAGUCCCUGUUUUGUGUUUAAGGACUUAGUGUUUUUGUAAUGUUUUUGCACCUAUUGUUUCUGUGUUCACUUACAUUUACAUUUAUUCAUUUUGCAGACGCUUUUAUCCAAAGCAACUCACAACUGAGAUAUAAAUAAAGUGAUUUUUCUUAAAGAGGCAAACAGACACAGGAAGUGCUUGUAAUUCCAAGUUCUCUCACUAAAUCCUCUGAAGUAGCCCACAUUACAGAUAGGAUGUCUGCCCAGUGCUGGAACAAACAACUGAACAAAUAAAAAUGCAUUUUAUUAAGCAUAAUUUGUGAUCCAAGUAUUAUCUCAUUCAAACACACUCUAGAUGUAAAUCAUUCAAUCAUACGGAGAGGCCAUGUCUAUUUUAACUAUUAUAUCCUUCCAUGAUUUUAUACUUUAAAGCCAUGGCAUGAAUAUGAAAUGUUACAUAUAGUAUUUAGAACAGAUUUAGAUGACACAUAUGGGACCGGAAGUUCAGUGUGACCUCACGUAACUGUUAGAACUGAUAAAA